UACAGAGGUCUCAAGCGUUGUUCGGAUUCAUUGGGCGUAAAGGGUGCGUAGGCGGCGCGGUAAGUCACUUGUGAAAUCUCUGAGCUUAACUCAGAACGGCCAAGUGAUACUGCAGUGCUAGAGUGUGGAAGGGGCAAUCGGAAUUCUUGGUGUAGCGGUGAAAUGCGUAGAUAUCAAGAGGAACACCUGAGGUGAAGACGGGUUGCUGGGCCAACACUGACGCUGAUGCGCGAAAGCCAGGGGAGCAAACGGG
rnacentral:rRNA from 1 species